UACGUAGGGUGCAAGCGUUAAUCGGAAUUACUGGGCGUAAAGCGUGCGCAGGCGGUGAUGUAAGACAGAUGUGAGAUCCCCGGGCUCAACCUGGGAACUGCAUUUGUGACUGCAUCGCUGGAGUGCGGCAGAGGGGGAUGGAAUUCCGCGUGUAGCAGUGAAAUGCGUAGAUAUGUGGAGGAACACCAAUGGCGAAGGCAGCCUUCUGGGCCAACACUGACGCUCAUGCACGAAAGCGUGGGGAGCAAACAGG
rnacentral:rRNA from 1 species